AAAUACUUUACUACAAGAUUGAAAGUCUGAAUUUCAGCAAUGACUCCAAUCCUGGCUACAUAUUGUGUAUUGCUAUGGAUCUCAUAUGCAGAAUCUCAGACGUUAAGUCUGACACCAUCAAAUAAUGCAGUUAAUCUAGGAGAGAGGGCAACUUUGACCUGUAAUAUUGGAGCUAAAGAUGGAAGCUGGGUGAACCUUCUAAAACAGAUACCAGGGAAUGUUCCACAGCUGAUUAUAGCUCAUCACCAUUCAGCCACCUCUCCUGUAUAUGGACCAGGGAUAUCUACAGACCGUUAUAAUGCCACCAUUAAUGAUGCAGCCACUGAGUAUCAGUUUAUCAUUAAGAGGACAGAGACAGCAGACACUGCUCAUUAUUACUGUGCGAAAUGGUUUGACAGCAUAUCAGCAUGCCACAGUGAUAAAGAGUUUGACAAGAACUGGUCAUACAAAAAAUGUCAACAAAAUAAGGAACUGGUUUAUGACUGCACAUCUACAUAUACUGAAAACCAAUCUGUCACAGAUUUUCUCUGUUGUCUCCGACUGAAUACUGACAAAUUGCUUGUUUGUGAACCCAUUACAUAUCAUCUUUUUCAUUAG